GAUACAAAUGAUGUGUCUAUUAGUGACCAAAGCCUGACUUUUGCUGAUUAGUCUUAACUGAUUGACUAAAAC